rnacentral:rRNA from 1 species
UAAUGGGUCAGCGACUUAUAUUCUGUAGCAAGGUUAACCGAAUAGGGGAGCCGAAGGGAAACCGAGUCUUAACUGGGCGUUAAGUUGCAGGGUAUAGACCCGAAACCCGGUGAUCUAGCCAUGGGCAGGUUGAAGGUUGGGUAACACUAACUGGAGGACCGAACCGACUAAUGUUGAAAAAUUAGCGGAUGACUUGUGGCUGGGGGUGAAAGGCCAAUCAAACCGGGAGAUAGCUGGUUCUCCCCGAAAGCUAUUUAGGUAGCGCCUCGUGAAUUCAUCUCCGGGGGUAGAGCACUGUUUCGGCAAGGGGGUCAUCCCGACUUACCAACCCGAUGCAAACUGCGAAUACCGGAGAAUGUUAUCACGGGAGACACACGGCGGGUGCUAACGUCCGUCGUGAAGAGGGAAACAACCCAGACCGCCAGCUAAGGUCCCAAAGUCAUGGUUAAGUGGGAAACGAUGUGGGAAGGCCCAGACAGCCAGGAUGUUGGCUUAGAAGCAGCCAUCAUUUAAAGAAAGCGUAAUAGCUCACUGGUCGAGUCGGCCUGCGCGGAAGAUGUAACGGGGCUAAACCAUGCACCGAAGCUGCGGCAGCGACACUAUGUGUUGUUGGGUAGGGGAGCGUUCUGUAAGCCUGUGAAGGUGGCCUGUGAGGGUUGCUGGAGGUAUCAGAAGUGCGAAUGCUGACAUAAGUAACGAUAAAGCGGGUGAAAAGCCCGCUCGCCGGAAGACCAAGGGUUCCUGUCCAACGUUAAUCGGGGCAGGGUGAGUCGACCCCUAAGGCGAGGCCGAAAGGCGUAGUCGAUGGGAAACAGGUUAAUAUUCCUGUACUUGGUGUUACUGCGAAGGGGGGACGGAGAAGGCUAUGUUGGCCGGGCGACGGUUGUCCCGGUUUAAGCGUGUAGGCUGGUUUUCCAGGCAAAUCCGGAAAACCAAGGCUGAGGCGUGAUGACGAGGCACUACGGUGCUGAAGCGACAAAUGCCCUGCUUCCAGGAAAAGCCUCUAAGCAUCAGGUAACAUCAAAUCGUACCCCAAACCGACACAGGUGGUCAGGUAGAGAAUACCAAGGCGCUUGAGAGAACUCGGGUGAAGGAACUAGGCAAAAUGGUGCCGUAACUUCGGGAGAAGGCACGCUGAUAUGUAGGUGAAGCGACUUGCUCGUGGAGCUGAAAUCAGUCGAAGAUACCAGCUGGCUGCAACUGUUUAUUAAAAACACAGCA